AUUGAACGCUGGCGGCAGGCCUAACACAUGCAAGUCGAGCGGAUGAAGGGAGCUUGCUCCCUGAUUCAGCGGCGGACGGGUGAGUAAUGCCUAGGAAUCUGCCUGGUAGUGGGGGACAACGUCUCGAAAGGGACGCUAAUACCGCAUACGUCCUACGGGAGAAAGUGGGGGAUCUUCGGACCUCACGCUAUCAGAUGAGC
rnacentral:rRNA from 1 species